rnacentral:lncRNA from 1 species
UAAAGGGCACAUAUGUGUUUCUAAAAGAUAAACUGUGAUGCUAAUAAAGAAAGGAAAAGUUACAAAAGUUGUAAAGGGUGUACAAGAGGUAAAAAAUGCAUAAUGCACCUCUUGUGUCUUCUUUUGUUGCUAUAAGAGUCGCUUUAGGAACUGUGAGUGCGCACUUGCAUUUAUUAUAUGCAGAAUGCACAAUCCUAAUCUCCCUUAAUCAUCACUCUAGCUUAAUGAUUAUGGAGAUUGAAAGUUUCAUCUUUUAGACUUUAUGUCGACUAUAUUUAAAAUUCAGACUGCAUGGAUAUGUUUUUUGAUUAACGACAUGAGCUUGAUCACCACUUUCAAUUGGAAUCUG